rnacentral:lncRNA from 1 species
GAUAUGGUUGUUGGUGGAACUGACACUACCGCCAACGUAGUUGAGUUUGCCAUGGCUGAGAUUAUGAACAAACGAGAUAUCUUGAGGAAAUUACAACAAGAACUAGAUACAGUCGUGGGAAAAGAUAACAUAGUGGAAGAGUCUCAUAUUCAACAGUUGCCAUAUUUCUAUGCAGUUAUGAAAGAAGCCUUGCGUUUACAUCCAGCUCUUCCACUCUUGGUGCCACAUUGUCCUAGUGAGACAGUCACUGUUGGAGGAUACACUAUUCCUGAAGGAUCUCGUGUAUUUAUAAAUGUAUGGGCUAUACAGCGAGAUCCUUCUAUAUGGGAAAAUCCAACUGAGUUCCGUCCAGAGAGAUUUUUGGACAAUAAGUGGGAUUAUAGUGGAAAUGAUUUCAACUAUUUCCCAUUUGGUUCUGGCAGAAGAAUCUGUGCGGGGAUAGGCAUGGCAGAGAGGAUGUUCAUGUAUUCACUGGCUUCACUCGUGCAUUCUUUCGACUGGAAAUUGCCUGAAGGAGAGACAUUAGACCUCACAGAGAAGUUUGGGAUUGUUCUGAAGAAGAAGAUGCCUCUGGUGGCUAUACCUACUCCAAGAUUAUCCAAUCCAACACUCUAUGAGUAAAAUAAAACAUGUUGCUCUAUCCAAAUGGACAAUAACAUAUAUCAGUACUGCAGUAAUUAUUAUAUGCUUAUUGAUAAAUCUGUAUAUUUUAAUUUGUGGUGUAAGGUAUCCAUAAAAGUAUGGUUUUAAUGAGCACAUAUGGUUGUAAUUAUUCUCAUUGAGGUUUGCUAUCUCCUGUUUCCUACCUUUUGCUAGUGUUUUUUAUAUAACUAUUGAAAUGUGUUUGUAGUGAUUAUACUUCUCUCUUUUGUACGAUGAAUUAUAUAUGGAGACGCGUUCCCUGUAAUUUGGAUCCUUGGAUCCAUUUCUAACUAAUUCAAUGGUUUCUAUAAAGUUGGUACACAUCAAGAAUAUGAAAGCUGCAACUCAGUCUGCCUGAAUGAUUGUAUCCCCAGUAUUUGAUUCUAUUUCUUCCCGAAAUCUUCUCAACACAAGUUAUAAUACCUAAUCAAGUUAUUCUUCUGCUGACAGUUUCCUCGUUCACAAUGGUCGUUUCUGUGUUCCAGAUGGCAUCCGGAGGUGAUCAUUUCUGAGGUGUACAGUACGCCACUCACUUCUAGCAGUCGUUCCAGAAAGGCUUGGGCACGCAUGUUAAUCUUAGCAUGAUUUUUCCACCAGCUGAUAGACGUGCAAGCAGAAGGACCAUUCAAAUGCUUGAUGAUAUGUUACGAUCUUAUCUAAUGGAUUUAUGAGGUAAAUGGGAUGAUCACCUUCUGUUGAUAAAGUUCAAUAAGAACAACAGCUAUCCGACGAGCAUCUAAAUGGUUGUGUGCGACCUUUGUACAGACAACAAUGUAGAUCGCCCAUAGGUUGGUUCAAACCGAGUAGAGUACAGCUGAUUGGCCCAAUUUUGUUCAUGAAGCCCGAGAAAAAGGUAAUAAUAUUCAAGAAAGGCUUAAGACAAUUCAGAAUUGAUAGGUGACUCUGUGGAUAUAGCCUUCGUUAAGGUGUUAUGGCAAAAUCAUGAUUCCAACUAGGCUACAUUCGAAGUGAAGAAAGAUAUGAAAGAAUCACAUGUCGGAGAUGAUAAUUGCGAAGUGACCUUAAGUUGGAAGAUUGUUUCCCAUACACUCUUUCAUUCCUCGUGUUUUAUUUUUGUUUGUACUUCUACAACUAGCUAGUAAGACUAAGUUUGGCAUAAGCAUCUAGGGCAUCCAAGUUCUAAUGUUUUGUUCCAUUUAUGGAAUUUUCGGUUGUUUGAGAAAUAAAAAUCAAUUUUAAGUAACUACCUUUGAUUGUCUUACACAUGCAAGUUUUGCAAAAAUAAAACUCAAGCCUUUUCCUAAUUUUGAUAGUUGUUUUGCAAGUGUUUUUGAUGUCAUUCAUAAUGAUGUUUGGGGCAUUUCAACAAUUAUUUUUCAUUAGUUUAACUCAAAAUUUGCAUUUCAACAAAAUUUAAUGAAAAAAUUAUUUAAAUUAAUUAGGUGACUUUCUAAAUGAAAACUCAAUAGUUGAGUGACUUGAUUUUAGAAAUUCUGUGAAAAAAAUCUAAGACUUUGAGUUAAAAACUAAAACGGUAAGUUGAAUGAGAAGAAGUAUUAGUUGAAUGGCCAUCUGGGUUAUUAACUGCCAAAUAUAUCAAUUAUUAUAGCUGCCAAAUCUCAACUUUUAUGGGUGCAAAAUCUCAACAUUCAUGGCUGCCAAAUUUAAAUAUAUAUGGCUGCCAAAUCUUUGACGAAGGAAGAAAACUUUCUUGAAUCAAAAAAGCCUUGAGCUUCCCACUACAUUGGUUCUGCCAAUUUCCAUUUCCUUCUUAGGCUCAAACAAUGUCUCUCAAAUUCUCCAAACCUCUGUUUGAUUCUUUCUCAUGUCCCUGGCAAGAAUCAAAUAUUGAGAAAAAAGGUGCAUUUUUAUCCUAUGUUCUUGGUAUUAUAGGUUUACUAUGGUUUCUUUGGCUUUUCACUAACAAGUCAAAAAAGGGACAACCCCCAUUGCCACCGGGGCCUAAAGCUUUGUCUUUACUAGGUAAUCUCCAUUCUCUUGAACCUCAACUUCUCACCUAUUUUGCUUCUCUUUCCCAAACUUAUGGCCCCAUUUGUAGACUCUGACUUGGUAAAAAACUUGGCAUUAUUAUUACUUCGCCUGCCUUAGCUCGCGAAGUUCUUAAGGAACAAGAUACCAUAUUUGCUAACAGAGAUGUGCCUGCUGCUGGAAGAGAAAUGUCAUAUGGCGGUUUGGAAUCCUUUUGGACCGAAAUGGCGUAUGUUGAGAACUGUUUGUGUUCGUGAUAUGCUUGGUGGUUCUGCUUUAGAUUCUGUUUAUGCACUAAGGAAAAAGGAGCUUAGACAGAAUCAAUUACUUCUAUAGUCAGGCCGGAUUGCCUGUGAAUGUUGGUGAAAAGAUGUUCUUGACUAUGUUUAACGUGAUUACAAGCAUGUUAUGGGGUGGCACAGUGAAGGGUGAGGAAAGAGCUAAUCUUGGGGCAGAGUUUAGGCAUGUUGUGUAUGGAAUACUGAGCUGUUAGGUACUCCAAAUGUUUCCGAUUUGCUUGGACUGGUUCGAUUUGCAGGGUGUUACAAAGAAGAUGAAAGUGUUGGCAAAGAGAUUUGAUACGAUAUUUGAGAGCAUGAUUGAUCAAAGACAGAAAAUGGAUGGAAAUACUGAGAUGGGAGCUGGUGUUGGUCAAGAAAGCAAGGACUUUUUGCAAGUUUUGCUGAAGUUGAAAGAUGAAGCAGAUUCCAAAAUGCCUCUGUCUAUGACUGAACUCAAAGCCUUACUUAUGGUAUGUUUUAUCGGUGCGCAUUUUGAUUGUUUCCAUUAGAUGUCUGAACUGUUGUUUGCUAACUUGUUAUUGGACUGUACUAAGAAAAGAGUCAUUUAGCAUCAAAUAUUAUGUAAAGCUUAAUUCAGACUUAAUUGAGAACCUUGAACUGAACACCUAUAUAUAUGUACAGUUCUACAAAUUAAAAAAUGUUGUACAUGAUAAUAACUUCACAAAUACUGUGAACAGGAUAUGGUUGUCGGUGGAACUGCUACGACCUCCAACACGGUUGAGUUUGCCAUGGCUGAAAUUAUGAACAAACGAGAUAUCCUGAGAAAAUUACAAGAAGUAGAUACAGUCGUGGGAAAAGAUAACAUAGUGGAAGAGUCUCAUAUUCAACAGUUACCAUAUUUCUAUGCAGUUAUGAAAGAAGUCUUGCGCCUACAUCCAGUACUUCCACUUUUGGUUCCUCGUUUUCCUAGUGAGGCAGGUAUUGUUGGAGGAUACACUGUUCCUAAAGGAUCUUGUGUUUUCGUAAACGUAUGGGCUAUUCACAGAGAUCCUUCUAUAUGUGAAAAUCCAACUGAGUUCCAUCCAGAAAAAUUUUUGGACAAUAAAUGUGAUUAUAGUGGAAAUGAUUUGAACUAUUUCCCAUUUGGUUCUGGCAGAAGAAUGUGUGCGGGGAUAGCCAUGGCAGAGAGGAUGUUCAUGUUUUUACUGGCAUCACUCAUUCAUUCUUUCAACUGGACAAUGUCUGAAGGGGAGAAUUUAGACCUUACAGAGAUGUUUGGGAUUGUUCUGAAGAAGAAAAUGCCUCUGGUGGCUAUCCCAACUCCAAGAUUAUCCAAUCCAACACUCUAUGAGUAAUGUUAAAAUGUGUCUGUAGAGUGUUGUAUUCCGCAUGAUGAUUCUGUCUUUUGUGCUCUAUGAAAAUUGAUUCAAAGUUUUCUAUAAAGUUUGUACACAUCAAGAAUAAAUACAUAAAGUAUGUUUUCUUAGGUCUCUUGACAAUAUUUUCUUGAGUUUACAAAAUUAAUUAAACAAAAACAUAUUAUAAAGGUCAAAUUAAAGUUGUCAUGAAUUCAUAUCUUGAUUCAUAAGAAAGCAUAGAGAGUGUGCAAGAAGGCUCAAGACCCUUUUAGACUCGAGAAGGACCACAUUCCAACAUUCAAGGAAAGAUGUUUAUAAAAUUCAAUUAAACAAAAUAGUCAAAGUGUAUUAUGGUAUAAAAGGUUACAAGGAUUAUUAUAGAGUUGCGGGAAUAAAGAAGAUCAAGUGAAAUUAGUAUUACAAAGCAAAACCUUAAGCAAAGGUGUGUGAAAUUUUUCCUAAAAGAAAGUAAAUAAAAAGGAUCUUAAAGAGCAUAUUUCUAUUGGCAAGAAGACAAUAUAUACCUAAUUAUAUAUUAUCUCUUAAUCUGUCUUGUGCACAGGAAGAUGCACCAGUUCUAGCUGGAAGGUAUCAACAUCUGAAGAUUCAUUUUCACUACCCAACAAAGGUCAUUGACUUCUUCACUUAUUUGAAUACCCAAGGUACAGAUAUAUUAAUUUAUUGCUGAUAGUUUUGAAAGAAUCAUAUAUCUGCCGAAUACUCAUUCAUUUAUCAAGUGGUGUUAGCUUCCCACAACAUUGGUUCUGCCAAUUUCCAUAUCCCUCUUAGGCUCAAAUAAUGUCUCUCAAAUUCUUCAAACGUCUCUUUGAUUUUUACUCAUGUUCUUGGCAAGAAUCAAAUAUUGAGCAAAAGGGUGUAUUUUUCUCCUAUAUUCUUGGUAUUGUAGCUUUACUAUGGUUUCUUUGGCUUUUCAUUAACAAGUCAAAAAAGGGACAACCCCAAUUGCCACCGGGACCUAAAGCUUUGCCUUUGAUAGGUAAUCUCCAUUCUCUUGAUCCUCAACUUCACACCUAUUUUGCAUCUCUUUCCCAAACUUAUGGCCCCAUUUAUACACUCUGGCUUGGUAAAAAAGUUGGGAUUAUUAUUACUUCGCCUGCCUUAGCUCGUGAGGUUCUUAAGGAUCAAGAUACCAUUUUCGCUAAUAGAGAUGUGCCUGCUGCUGGUAGAGAAGCUACAUAUGGUGGCACUGAUAUAGUUUGGACUCCUUAUGGACCGAAAUGGCGCAUGUUGAGAAAAGUUUGUGUUCGCGAAAUGCUUAGUGGUUCUACUUUAGAUUCUGUUUAUGCAUUAAGGCGACGGGAGCUUAGACAAACGAUCAAUUACUUCUAUAGUCAGGAAGGAUUGCCUGUGAAUAUAGGUGAACAGAUGUUCUUGACUGUGCUUAAUGUGAUUACAAGCAUGUUAUGGGGCGGCACAGUGAAGGGUGAGGAAAGAUCCACUCUUGGGGCAGAGUUUAGGCAUGUUGUCACUAAGAUGACUGAACUGUUAGGUACUCCAAAUCUUUCUGAUUUUUAUCCGGGCUUGGCCAGGUUUGAUUUGCAGGGUGUUACAAAGAAGAUGAAAGUAUUGGCAAAGAGAUUUGAUAAGAUAUUCGAGAGCAUGAUUGAUAAAAGACAGGAUAUUGAUAGAAAUGGUGGGAUGGAAACUGGUGUUGGCCAAGAAAAUAAGGAUUUUUUGCAAGUUUUGCUGAAACUGAAAGAUGAUGAAGCUGCCAAAAUGCCUUUGACCAUGCCUGAACUCAAAGCCUUACUCAUGGUAUGUUUUUCUCAAUUGUGCAUGCUACUACAGGAAAAAUCCAGUAUCCAGCUCUACUGGUAGUAUGAAUUUUGUUAUACAUGAUAAUAACUUCACAAAUACUGUGAACAGGAUAUGGUUGUCGGUGGAACUGACACAACCUCCAACACGGUUGAGUUUGCCAUGGCUGAAAUUGUGAACAAACCAUACGUCCUGAGGAAAUUACAAGAAGAAGUAGAUACAGUUGUGGGUAAAGAUAACAUAGUAGAAGAGUCUCAUAUUCAACACUUACCAUAUUUCUAUGCAGUUAUGAAAGAAGUCUUGCGUCUACAUCCAGCGCUUCCACUCUUGGUUCCUCAUUGUCCUAGUGAGACGAGCACUGUUGGAGGAUACACUGUUCCUAAAGGAUCUCGUGUUUUCAUAAAUGUAUGGGCUAUACAGCGAGAUCCUUCUAUAUGGGAAAAUCCAACAGAGUUCCGUCCAGAGAGAUUUUUGGACAAUAAGUGGGAUUAUAGUGGAAAUGAUCUCAACUACUUCCCAUUUGGUUCUGGCAGAAGAAUCUGUGCGGGGAUAGGCAUGGCAGAGAGGAUGUUCAUGUAUUCACUGGCUUCACUCGUGCAUUCUUUCGACUGGAAAUUGCCUGAAGGAGAGACGUUAGACCUUACAGAGAAGUUUGGAAUUGUUCUGAAGAAGAAAAUGCCUCUGGUAGCUAUACCUACUCCAAGAUUAUCCAAUCCGACACUGUAUGAGUAAGAUAUGUCUGUAGAGAGACGCUUUCUGCAUGACGAAUUUAUCUUUUGUAUGAUGAACUAUGGAUAUGUGCUUCAUGAAAAUAGGAUCUACUUGAAAUGGAUUGGAAGUUUUCUGUAUAGUUUGUAAACAUCAUGAAUAAAUAUAAGAAGGGUGUUUUCCUUGUUCUCUUGACAAUAUUUGCUUGAAAAAAAGGGUGUUUACCAAAUUUAUUAAAUCAUCAUAUCAUCGUAUCAUAUACUCCCUCCCAAUCAAAAGGAUGACCAAAUUUGAUUUGUAACGGAGUUUAAGAAUAGAAAGAAAUUUUUUAAUCUUGUGGUUCUAUAUUAAAGUUAUGUCAAAUGUACCAAAAUGUCCUUUAAUCUUGUGGUCUUAAACAUGCCACGUGGAUAGUUAAAGUUAAAGUGAUGCCAAAAAAGGAAAUGAGUCAUUUUUUUUAAAAGACUAAAGAGGAAAUACGGUCAUUCUUUUUUAAACGGAGGGAAUAUAUUAUUAUAAGUUGGAAGCUCCUAAAUUAAAAGUUGAAUUACCAUUUUACCCUUAUUUUAUUUCUAGACUAAUUUAAAUAUUAAUAUAUAAUUAAUUUAACAUUAAAAUAAUCAUAUUUAAAUACAUGCAUCUAGACACAAUGGUUCAAAUUCUAAUUAUUUAAAUACUACGUAAUAAGUAAUAAUUAUAUUAUAUUAUACUAAAUACCAAAAAUAAGAAGGUAUAAAGUCAAACUUUGAAUACAAAAAUAUUUAAUAGAAAAUUGUUAGAAAUUAUUUCAUAGAAAAUUGUUAGGAAUUACCUUCUUAUAACAAAAGUCCUCUAUUCUUUCUCUAUAAUUAGUGUGGUUAAAUGGAUUGAAUUUGUUAUCCUUUCUAUGUAAUAAGUAUAAUUAAAUGUAUUGAAUUAUUAGUAAAAACAAUCAACAUUUCCUCUCCCCCAUGUCUAAGAUCACUAACUUCUCAAAAUAAACUUAAACAACUCUUCACCUUUUCAUCUUAUUUUAUAAAUCUUUAGCUAUAUGUAUGUAUCAUGAAAAAAUAUUUUUUUUCUUUAUCACUUGCUUCUUGUUUAUAUGAAUCAUUAGGCAAUUUUCAUGUACUUUUUUUUGUUUUAAAUAUUAAUAUUUGUUUGAUCCUAAUUAGAAUGAUAUUUUGUAUCAUAAUUUUAUCUUUACCAUUUUAGAUGAGUUUUUGUUUGUUGAAUGCCUUGAAUCGGACCCGCUACAAACAGAAAGGACGGGGGUCUCGCUGACCGGUCAGCGAGUCGGGGGGUCCAGGGGGGCGACGCGCCCCCUGGCCUGGGGGUCCGGGGGGGCGGAGACGCCCCCGGGCCGACGGUAUACAAUGUUGUUGUAUUGGGCCCUUAAUUUUCUGUUGAUUCAGUAUGUUGGGCCCAAGCCUGUUAGGGCGUAGCUUAGCACUAUAUAUAGACGCUAUGGGAAACCCUAUUCUGUAAUUCUGUUUUUGCCUCUCCAUAAUAAAACUGCUCCCUCUCUUCCCGUGGACGUAGCCAAUUUAUUGGUGAACCACGUAAACUGUUGUCUUGUUUUUCGCGUUUAUAUUUUCUCGUAUUAUCUCAAAUUCCGCACAACAUUGUUGUUACAGAAGAAGGUAUCAUCAAGAACUCUACUCUUUAUGUAAUUCUUUUUACGAUAUAUAUUGUUAUAAUUAAAGUCUUAAGAAAGAUAUGAAUGUUGUAUUUGUUCUUAUCUGUUUAAUUUUUUUUAUUCUAUUUAUACUUAUUUAAUUUAAUCUACUAUGAAAUUAUGAAUAUUAUAAGUCUAUUUUUAUUAGUGCUAAAUUACUAAUUUAUGACUUUUAUAUUCAUUUUUAAAUGUACUUUUAUAAUAUGUUUUUUCUUUUAUCCUUUCCUUAUUGAUAUAGUUUCUUUAAAUAGAUACAUAGUUGUGUAAACUAUAUGAAGGAUAAUGAGAGAUUAUUAAGGAUUAGUCAUAUAGAUAUAUUCAUAUUACUAGAUGCUAUAAUAAUAUUAUUAUUUUCUCAUAUUUCUUGCUUGAUGGUCAAUGUAAUAUUCGAUUAUUAUGAAUUUUAUUUAAUGAAUAAAAUAUAAAUUGAUAAAACUAAUAUUUUAAGUUCAAUAUUUUUUAAGAAUAAUUCAACUUUAUAAUAAUUGUAUCUGCAACGCACGUUCAGGAAACUAAGUAGAAAAAAGUAUACGUAAAGGACAGAUUAGUUAAAUUAUAUACUUUUGUAUUAGUUUAAAAAAAUCUCUAAUUGAAAAAAACAAAUUGGAACCAAUAGUUGUUUCAUGGGUUCUCUCCUUUGAAGUUUGAAGCAGCAUUAGGAUUGAGAAGGUAUGUUCAUAUUGUGGUUUUGCUUACUUCCUUUUUAUAUUACUACUAUAGAGAAGAGCUACGAGAAGGACGAUCAAUAACAUUUUAAUAAUUUUAACAUCAUUUAAGACAAAAUAAUAAUUGUGUAUUUAUGGUCAAAAUGAAAAAUCUAAAAUAAUUCAUAAAUGUCUUAAUUUUUAUUUUGGGCUCAUAAGGAUAUUAUUGUAAUUUUGUUAAAAUAAAGAGUUUCUAUUAAUUAACUUCUUACAAACAAUAAUGAAUAUUAAACUUGUUUUUAUAUACUUUUGAAAGAAAAUUUUGAAUUUAUUAAAAUAAAAUGUGUUUGAAUAGUUAAUAUUUUUCUAUUAAUAUUUUUUUUCCUCUAUUAUAUAGAAGAGAGAAUGGAAGGACGACCAGGGGCAAAAAUGUAACUUAUUCCAACAAAAAUAUAUUAAGAAAGAUAAUAAACAAUUCUAGAAAUCUCUUUCUUUAUAUAAAGUGAAUAAUGAUCAAGGGUAAAAAUAUAAUUUUGCACUAACAAAAUUCUACCUAGAAUGAUAACAAGAAAAUUAAAUAGUUGUGAAACAUCUUAAGUUAUUGUUAUUACUUCACUAUCUUUUCUUUAUGAGUUAUUGUGAUAUCUAUUUUGUUAUUACUCUAUUUUGCUAUUACUUUUGUUUAAUUCUUAAUAUUUUUUUCUAUUAAUUAUGCUUAUCAAAAAUGCCUCCUUUUUACAUAAAAAUUUAUCAUGAAUUAAUUAUUUCCAUCUUUAUUUUGGCUCUAAUUAAUAUACUUGAAAAAAAAUAAGUGUGAUAAAAAUUAAUAAUAUAUUAGAUUAAAAUUAAAGAAAAAAAAUAUUAAAAAGUAAUUUUACAAAUAAAAAUGAAUAGGAUGAUAUACUUGUAUUAAAGACGACUAAGAAUUAAAAUGUAAUUUCAUUCUAACAAAAAUCUAUCAAAAUAAAUAAUUCUAGAAACAUCUUUCUAUAUAUGAAGUGAAUGAUGAUCAAAUGUUAGAAAAAUAUAACUAUGCAAACAAAAUCUGCCAAUAACAAAAAAAUUAAAAUGGUUCUAGAAACAUCUUUAGUUAUUAUUAUUAGUAGGGAAAAUUAUAUGAAAUGGCAAACAUUCAUAACUAAUUAUAUAUUAGGGGUAUAGUUUAAUUUAUUUACAUUAUAUAAUUAUAGUUUAUUUUAUUUUGCUAUAAUUAAUGGGGGCCCACAACCUAUUAUGUAACCAAUUGUAUAAAAAUCUUAUUUUCUAAUUUUGUAUAUAAUUAUACACAAUCUAAUUUUCUCUCUCCUAUUCACAAUUAAUUUUCUCUCUCCUUUCCUUAUUCUAACGUCUUCUCCUACAUUUAAUACUCCAAUAUCAGAUUUGAAUUUCGAAUUUUUGUCCAAAAUUUCAGUAAUCCCUCCUGAAGUUGAAGUCUCCUCCCUAAGUUGAAGUCAAUUUCGUAAGUUAUCCUUAAUUUUAGUUGUUUACCUUUUUUUCUAACUUAUCUAAAAAUUGUAUAUGUGUUCUGUUUUUUUUCUUCAUAUAUUUUGAUGAAAUAAUCAUUUUUUUGUUCUUGAUAGAUCUAAAAUUCGUCAAACAAUGAACGAAUCGUCUACAUCUUUGAGGAUUACUAGAGGUAGUCCUUUGCAUGUCAAUGUUUUGACAUUUUACCAUCCUUUUCAAUGGGGCUAACUCAAGAAUUUGGGGUUAAUGUAGGGUAUUUGGGAAAAUCAAAACAACUUAUACAAGAACAAACCAUGGAAGAGCUGAAAUCAAAGAAAAAAAACGACCCUAUGGCAGUUCAAUAAGUUAUUAAAAAUGCCAAAGCUAGAGGCAUUAAAAUUGUACAAGGUACAAGAAAGAGGAAAGCUGUACUAUUUGAAUCAGAGGAAAAUGAUUGUGAAGUCGGAUCUGAAGAACUUCAUAAUCAUGAGGUACUGUCUUAAAACACAAAUUUAGAUACAAUUUUUUUGUUAAUUAGUUGUCAAUAUACAAAAACCAUUAAAUUAAGUAUUGUAUAUAGUAUAUUCCAUGUGAGUAAUUGUAUAUAGUAUAUUGCAUAUUUAUGUUAUUUUUGGUUUUUGUAUAUAUAUACAAAAUAGUAAUUGGACUUAGUAUAUACAGAUGGAAAAAUUGAAUAUAUGAUUAGAAUUUGUAUAUUCUAUUAGUUAUAUACAAAUUUUUGAAGUUAGUAUAUAUUAAGUUUACAUACAUAUACAAAAAUUGAUAUGUACAUGUCUGUUUUAAUAGCUGGUAGUAGGGAUUGUAUAUAGAUGGGAAAAUAUCAUAUGUGAUUAUAAUUUUGUAUAUUGUAGUAGUUAUAUAUAAAUUAUCGAAUAUAAUGUAUUGAAUAUGCAUAUACAAUUAAUAAAAACAUUGAAUAAGUGUUAGUAUAUACUAUAUACAAUUAAAAACCUGAAUAACAUAUAUCUCUUGUUAUACAAAUUUGUAAAAUGCAUUUUUGUACAUGUAUAUAUUUAUUCAAUAAGAUUGUAUAUGUAUAUUUAUUGCAAUCUAAUUGGAUGUGCAUAUACAAUAAAAGACAUUGAAUAUGUGCUGGUAUAUACCAUAUACAAAAAAGGUAAGUUCAUAUAUAUAAAUAGAAAAUAAUCUGUGAAUGACUUUUUUUUUUGAUUUUUUUUUGUAUAUAUAGGUAGGUAUGUAUAUACAGAAAUUAAUUUGUACAUGACUUAUUAUAAACAGAAUUUUUUUUUUGAAUUUGAACGUAUGGCUUGAAAAUAGGGACGUUUCCCUAAAAUUGUGGCAUUAUCUUGAUUUAUUGUUACCAUAUUUAAUGCUUCAGUCACAAACAACUUUUUAAAAUAGAAUUGUAUAAAUAAUAAAAAAAAAAUUUAUAUACAAAAUUAAAGACACCUUUAAUAACUUAACUAUACCUAUAUUAUGUAAUUAGGUAAACUAUACCCAUAUAAUGUUAUUUAAUCUAAUAAGUUUGCCAUAUAUAAAAUUUUCCCUUAUUAGUAUUACCUCAUUUUUGGUAUUUCUCCAUUUUUUUAUGAAUUAUUGUGAUAUUUAUUCAUUAUAUGAAAGUAAAUAAAUUAUGAUUACAAUUAGCUCUUAAUAAUUCUAUAUCAAAUACAAUAUUAGAUGAAAUCAAUCAAAAAUAAAACUAAAAUUUAUAUGUAUAUUUAAAUUUUGUGUAUUAAAAAUACUUUUAAAUUUUGUGAUCUUAAUUAUGCGAUAUAAAAAAAAUCAAAAUUCAAAAGUUUUUUUCUUUUUGAGAUGAAAUAAAAAAAUAAGUUCAUAUAUAUUGAAAAGGAGGGAUCAUAAAUUAAAAAUGAAAUAUAUCUGUGUUAUUAUUAAAAUGAGCUUUCAUAUUUUUUUUUAAAAAAAUUCUUUUGGUUUCCUUCUAUUAAUUUGUGCAUAUAUGUGGAGUUUUAAAGAUUUGAAUAUUUUAAUAUAAAAAUAUAAUGAUUUGAAAACUUUAAUUCUUCGUUUUAAUUUCUAAUUUGUUGCAUAUUUAAAAUUUAAUUAAAAAAGAAGCUUAACAUAUCAAUGUAACAACUCAAGAUAUUUUUAGAAAAACAUAAUUAAAAACCUUAAUGAAAUUUGGUUGAUUCCUUUAUUUUUAUCUAAACAAAAGAAAAUUGCAUAUAUUGUUUGAAAAUGAAGUAAGAACUAAUAAGUACUAUGAAUCACAGUAAAAUGACAACUAAAAAUAUGUGAGAAUCAUAUAAGAAAUUCAUUGACUUUCCUAAAAUCACUUGUAUCAUAUAAAAUGAAACAGAUGGAAUAACAUAUAUUAUUUAAAAAUGACAUAAAAGGUACAUACAUUAACAAUUUAAAAUAUUUUGUAAAAAAACACAUAUAAAAAAUUAGUUCGUUUUUCAAUUUUCAUUCAUGUCACAUAAAUUGGAAGAAAAUAAUUAUCAUACGCUGGGCCGCGCUGGCACGAACACUUAAUAUAUAUAUAUAUAUGUGUGUGGUGUUAAAUUAUUAAUAGGGUAAAAUGAUAAAUUCAAUAUCAAUUAUUAUUUUCUUAAUUUAUUUUUUAUUUUUAUUAUUCUAAACUUUUUUUAAGAGUUUAUUUUAUAUUUGUUUAUCAUUCUCAGCUUUUACUUGAUGCGAUAUCAUGUAAUUUUUUAUUAAUGUAUGUUCUUAUGCCAUGUUUAUUUCUAAAACUUAAUAUACUUUUUAUUAUUAGAGUUAUGUAUUCAAAUAGUAUAUGUAUAAUUAUACUAUGACACUAUGUUGGUGUAGUGAGUAAGCACUUGUGGAGUUGGUGUCUUAACAUUUUUUAUUUGGAGGAUCUUAAAGUAUUGCAGAAACAUUCUGGAGUGCCAGCAACACAAGAGUUAUCUCUAUGAUGAAAUGAUGUAACAGUAUGUGGGGCAUCCUCUUUGGUUCUUUCCUUCAAAGGCUAUUCCCAUUUUCCAUUUCCUACUUACUAUCCACAAAUAAUGUCUCUCAAAUUCAUGUUUGAUUCUUUCUCAUGGCCCCUGCAAGAUCUCAAUAUUGAGCAAAAGGGGGUGCUUUUCUCCUGUCUUUUAGCUUUGCUUUGGUGUUUCAUCAGCAACUCAAACAAGGGGCUGCCACCAGGGCCUAAACCUUUGCCCUUGAUAGGUAAUCUCCAUUCUCUUGAACCUCAACUUCACACCUAUUUUGCAUCUCUUUCCAAAAUUUAUGGCCCCAUUUGUAGAAUCUGGCUUGGUAAAAAACUUGGGAUUAUUGUUACUUCCCCUGCCUUAGCUCGCGAGGUUCUUAAGGAUAAAGAUACCAUUUUUGCUAACAGAGAUGUGAGUGUUGCUGGUAGAGAAGUUACAUAUGGUGGAACUGACAUAGUUUGGACUCCUUAUGGACCUAAGUGGCGUAUGUUGAGGAAGGUUUGUGUUCAAGAAAUGCUUAGUGCUUCUACUUUAGAUUCUCUUUAUGCACUGAGGCGAAGGGAGCUUAGACAAUCGAUUAAUUACUUUUAUAAUCAGACAGGAUCGCCUGUGAAUAUUGGUGAACAGAUGUUUUUGACUGCACUUAAUGUGAUUACAAGCAUGUUAUGGGGUGGCACAGUGAAGGGUGAGGAAAGAGCUACUCUUGGGGCAGAGGUUAGGGAUGUUGUGACUAAGAUGAAUGAGCUGUUAGUUACUCCAAAUCUUUCCGAUUUUUACCCGGGGUUGGCCUGGUUUGAUUUGCAGGGUGUUAAAAAGAAGAUGAAAGUGUUGGCAAAGAGAUAUGAUAACAUAUUUGAGAGCAUGAUUGAUCAAAGACAAAAAAUGAAUAGAAAUGGGGUUGGCCAAGAAAGCAAGGACUUUUUGCAAGUUUUGCUGAAGUUGAAAGAUGAAGCAGAUCCCAAAAUGCCUCUGACCAUGACUGAACUCAAAGCCUUACUUACGGUAUGUUUUAUUAAUUGUGCAUUCAAAUUUGCUGCUUACACUAUAUUUUCAUAAAUAAAAAAUCGUUGUGCAUGAUAAUAACUUCACUAAUACUAUGGACAGGAUAUGGUUGUUGGUGGAACUGAAACUAGUGCCAACACAGUUGAGUUUGCCAUGACUGAAAUUAUGAACAAACCAGACGUCUUGAGGAAAUUACAACAAGAAGUGGAUACAGUUGUGGGAAAAGAUAACAUAGUGGAAGAGUCUCAUAUACAACACUUGCCGUAUUUGUAUGCAGUUAUGAAAGAAGUCUUGCGUCUAUAUCCAGCUGUCCCACUCUUGGUGCCUCAUUGUCCUAGUGAGACAGUCACUGUUGGAGGAUAUGCUGUUCCUAAAGGAUCUAGUGUUUUCGUAAACGUAUGGGCUAUACAUCGAGAUCCUUCUAUUUGGGAAAAUCCAACUGAGUUCCAUCCGGAAAGAUUUAUGGAGAAUAAAUGGGACUUCAGUGGAAAUGAUUUGACCUACUUCCCGUUUGGUUCUGGCAGAAGAAUCUGUGUGGGGUUAGCCAUGGCAGAGAGGAUGUUCAUGUAUUCACUGGCUUCACUUAUUCAUUCUUUUGACUGGAAAUUGCCUGAAGGAGAGACAUUAGACUUUACAGAGAAGUUUGUGCUCGUUCUGAAGAAGAAAAUGCCUCUGGUGGCUAUACCUACUCCAAGAUUAUCCAAUCCAACACUCUAUGAGUAAGAUAGAAAUAUGUCUGUAAAGAGUCGCUUCUGCAUGGUGAUUUUAUCUUUUGUGUGAUGAACUAUGGAAAUGUGAUCAAUGAAAGAUGUUGCUCUAUCCUGGCAAUGGUCUUAUGAGCAACUCAAUGUUCCAUGUGAAAUGCCUAGUUUCCAUGACUUCUUAAAUAUUGUAUUCUGAAUCGAAUUUGAAAUAAUAGUACAUGUAUGACUUUAUUGUAGAGAUUAUGCUUCUAUCUUUUGUUUGAUGAACUAUAUAUGGAGAUAUAAUACUUAAAUUUACAAGGGCAAUUAUUAUUACUAAGCAAAACCUGGAGCAAGAUGUGUGAAAUUAUUUCUAAAAGCUAUGACAUCCUGAAAAGGAUUUUAAAGAGCAUAUUUGUGCUCAAUAUAUACCUAAUUUAAUACUAUUUUCUUAUUUGUCUUGUGAACAGGACAGACAAGGUAUCAAAAAGUGAAGAUUCAUUUGUGUUAAACAACAAGGGGCCAUUGACUUCAUCACUAAAUAUAAAUGUUGAAGUGGAAAAUGGCUUCCCACCACACUGUUUCUGCCAUUUCUCUCAUUUUUCUCUUAGGCUGAUAUAAUGUCACUAAAAUUCUUCAAACCUUUGUGUGAUUCUUUCCCAUGGCCCUGGCAAGAACAAAAUAUUGAGAAAAGUGGUGUAUUUUUCUCCUAUGUUCUUGGCAGUUUAGCUUUAAUAUGGUUUCUUUGUUUUUACAUCAACAAGUCAAAAAAGGGACAACCGCCAUUAUGGGCCUAAAGCUUUGCCUUUGCUAGGUAAUCUCCACUCUCUUGAUCCCCAACUUCACACCUAUUUUGCAUCUCUUUCCCAAACUUAUGGGCCCAUUUGUAGACUCUGGCUUGGUUUGUUGUGCGGAAUUUGAGAUAAUACGAGAAAAUAUAAACGCGAAAAAUAAGACAACAGAUUUACGUGGUUCACCAAUAAAUUGGCUACGUCCACGGGAAGAGAGGGAGCAGUUUUAUUAUGGAGAGGCAAAAACAGAAUUACAGAAUAGGGUUUCCCAUAGCGUCUAUAUAUAGUGCUAAGCUACGCCCUAACAGGCUUGGGCCCAACAUACUGAAUCAACAGAAAAUUAAGGGCCCCGUCCUUUCUGUUUGUAGCGGGUCCGAUUCAAGGCAUUCAACAUGGUUACUUCACCUGCCUUAGCUUGCGAGGUGCUUAAGAAUCAAGAUACCAUUUUUGCUAACAGAGAUGUACCUGCUGCUUGUAAAGAAUCUUCAUAUGGUGGAAAGGACAUAGUUUGGAAUCCUUACGGACCGAAAUGGCGUAUGUUUAUUGGUUCAACUUUAGAUUCUGUUUAUGCACUAAGGAAAAGGGAGCUUAGCAAUCGAUCAAUUACUUUUAUAAUCAGGCGGGAUCGCCUGUGAAUAUUGGUGAACAGAUGUUCUUGACUGCGCUUAAUGUGAUAACAAGCAUGUUAUGGGGUGGGACAGUGAAGGGUGAGGAAAGCUCUAGACUUGGAGCAGCAUGUUGUAGCUGAUAUGACUGAGCUGUUAGGUACUCCAAAUAUUUCCGAUUUUUAUCCGGGCUUGGCCAGGUUCAAUUUGAAGGGUGUAACAAAGAAGAUGAAUGUAUUGGAAAAGAGAUAUGAUAAGAUAUUUGAGAGCAUGAUUGAUCAAAGACAGAAAAUGGAUUGAAAUGCUGAUCAGAUGGGAACUGGUGUUGGCCAAGAAAGCAAGGAAUUUUUGCAAGUUUUGCUGAAGUUAAAAGAUGAAUCAGAUGCCAAAAUGCCUCUGACCAUGAUUGAAAUCAAAGCCUUACUUAUGGUAUGUUUUAUUCGUAAAGUUUUGUCGUGAGCUGAGCUGUUGUUUCAUUCUUCUUCUAUGAAAAUUCACAUUCAUUUGUGUUGUGCGGAAUUUGAUAUAAUACGAGAAAAUAUAAACGCGAAAAACAAGACAACAGAUUUACGUGGUUCACCAAUAAAUUGGCUACGUCCACGGGAAGAGGGGGAGCAGUUUUAUUAUGGAGAGGCAAAAAACAGAAUUACAGAAUAGGGUUUGUCAUAGCGUCUAUAUAUAGUGCUAAGCUACGCCCUAACAGGCUUGGGCCCAAAAUACAGAAUUGACAGAUAAUUAAGGGCCCAAUUCAAGGCAUUCAACAAAUCUCCACCUUGACUUGAAUUCUCCAAACAGGUUCUUCAGACGCACUAUGAUAGUGCCAGGCCUCCCCCUCUUCCUCAGAAUUGCCCCGCAGGGCAAUUAACAGUUUCUGAUGUUGAGCAAGUCCAAACAGUGUUGAAACUUGCUCUGUGGAACCGAAUUUGUGAACAUAUCAGCAGGAUUAUCAGCAGUUCCUACUUUCUUCACCUUGAUUCUCUUCUCACUUCUCAGAAAAUGAUACCUCACGUCAAUAUGCUUGAUUCUCUCAUGAUGGAAUUGAUCCUUGGCUAGACAAAUUGCGCUCAAACUGUCACAAUACACCGUAGCCUGAUCAUGAUACAGACCAAGAUUACUAACCAGCUUUUUCAGCCAAAUCCCUUCUUUUGCAGCCUCUGUCAAGGCCAUGUACUCCGCUUCCGUAGUAGACAAAGUCACUGUAGGUUGCAAAGUUGUCUUCCAACUGACAACAGAUCCUCCAAGGGUAAACACAUAGCCAGUCAUCGAUCUUCUUGUGUCAACAUCUCCAGCAUAAUCAGAAUCAGAAUAGCCAGUAACCAAGCACUGAGUAUCACCUCCAUAAAUGAGACCAACGUCAGAUGUACCUCUAAGGUACCGGAAUAUUCUCUUCACAGCCUGUCAAUGUUCUUUCCCUGGUUGUCCCAUGAAUCUGCUCACUACACUGACUGCAUGUGCUAAAUCUGGCCUUGUACACACCAUAGCAUACAUCAAACUUCCUACGGCACUGGCAUAAGGGACUCGUGACAUAUACUCCUUCUCUUCUUCUGACUGUGGAGCGAACAUGGCAGUGAGAUUGAUAUUGGCAGCACUGGGGGUAUCAAUAGGCUUAGAUGAAGACAUGUCAAACCUCGCCAAGACCUUCUGAAUGUAGCUUCUCUGUGACAAGAAAAGUUUCCUUCUCUCUCUGUCUUUAAUGAUCUCCAUCCCUAGAAUCUUCCGAGCGGCUCCCAGAUCCUUCAUCUCAAACUCAGCACUAAGUAAACCCUUUAGCUUCUGAAUGUCAUACUUCUUCUUUGCAGCUAUCAGCAUAUCAUCUACAUAAAGCACCAGAUAGAUGAAUGAAUCAUCCUUGAGCCUAUUGUAGUAGACACAACAAUCAUAUGAGCUCCGAGUAUAGCCCAACUUCACCAUAUAGCUGUCAAACCUUUUGUACCACUGCCUUGGAGACUGCUUAAGUCCAUAUAAGGACUUUUUCAACUUGCAGACGUGAUUUUCCUUCCCUGGAACUUGGAAACCAUCCGGCUGAAUCAUGUAUAUCUCUUCCUCCAACUCUCCAUGUAGAAACGUUGUCUUCACAUCAAGUUGUUCAAGCUCCAGAUUCUGAUGUGUAACUAUCGCUAGUAACACUCGGAUGGAAGUAUGUCUAACCACUGGUGAGAAGAUCUCAUUGUAGUCCACUCCCUCUCUUUGGUUGAAACCUCUGGCAACAACCCUGGCUUUAUACUUGACUCCUUCUGCUGGUGAUAUCCCUUCCUUCUUCUUGAAAACCCAUUUGCAAGUAAUAAUCUUUCUCCCCGAAGGCUGUAUGACCAAAUCUCAUGUCUGAUUCUUGUGUAGGGACUCCAUCUCAUCUCCCAUAGCAGCAAACCAUUUUUCAGAAUCAGGACUUAAAAUGGCUUCUUUGUAAGCAGACGGCUCAGAUGUAUCUACCUCUUUAGCAACCUGCAGUGCAUAACCCACCAUGUCCUCAAAACCAUACCUCGUAGGUGGCCGAACUCCAACCCUCCUUGGCCGAUCUUGAGCUAUACUCUGAUGGAUAUCUGAUGGCAUAGAUUCUGGAAUAUCAGUUUAUGUCUGUGGCUCUUGAUCCUGCUCUUCAGGUUCUUUCAAAUCGCUCUCGUUUUGAAUGACUUGAAACUCCACCUGUUUAUCAAGAUUUCCAGUUUCUGACGUAGUUGUAGGCUUCACAAUGGUUCUAAGCAGAGAACUUUCAUCAAAGACAAUGUUCCUGCUCAUAAUAACCCUCUUUUCUGCUGGAGACCAGAUUCUGAAACCUUUCACUCCAUCUCCGUAGCCCACAAAUACUCCCUUUUUAGCUCUUGGUUCUAACUUACCUUCACUGACGUGAUAGUAAGCCGUACAACCAAAAGCUUUCAGAUUUGAAUAAUCAGCAGCUUUUCCUGACCACAUCUCCAUAGGUGUCUUGCACUGUAUGCCUGUAUGUGGUCCGCGGUUAAUCAAGUAGCAAGCUGUACUAACCGCUUCUGCCCAGAAUCUUCUAUCUAGCCCAGCAUUAGAGAGCAUGCACCUUGCUCUUUCCAGAAGUGUUUGAUUCAUCCGCUCAGCUACACCGUUCUGCUGUGGUGUAUUUCUGACUGUACGAUGUCGAGCAAUCCCUUCAUCCUUACAGAAUUGAUCAAAUUCAGACCAACAGAAUUCCAGCCCAUUAUCAGUUCGCAACCUCUUGAUCUUCUUCCCUGUUUGAUUUUCCAUCAAAAUUUUCCACUCCUUGAACUUCUGGAAGGCUUCACUUUUAUGCUUCAUCAUGUACACCCAAGUCAUCCUUGAGUAGUCAUCAAUAAUGGACACAAAAAAUCUGCAGCCUCCCAAAGACUCAACACGGCAUGGACCCCAGCAAUCAGAAUGGAUAUAAUCAAGUGUGCCUUUUGUUCUAUGAAUGGCCUUUGGAAACUUGUUGCGAUGUAGUUUUCCAAAAACACAAUGUUCACAAAACUCUAGGCUCUUAACCUUAUGACCAGCAAGUAAAUCCUCCUUUGACAGAAUUUGCAUCCCUCUUUCACCCAUAUGACCAAGUCUCAUGUGCCAUAACUUAGUCAUAUCCUUCUGGUGAAAUUCUGACGAUGCAACAUGGACUGAACCUGUAACCGUGGAACCUUGUAGAAAAUACAAAGUACCACGCAUGACACCUUUCAGAAUCAAAUUUGAACCCUUCCAGACCCGCAAGACUCCAUCUUUUCCCGACCAGCUGAAUCCCUUGCUGUCCAAAAGACUGAGAGAUAUCAGAUUUUUCGUCAUCAAUGGAACGUGCCUGACCUCGUUCAAUGUGCAGAAGCUACCGUCAUGUGUCCUUAUCUUGAUCGAGCCUGUCCCAACCACCUUGCAGACAGAACUGUUGGCCAUCGAGAUGCUGCCUCCGUCUACCUGCUCAUAAGUCGUGAACCACUCUCUCCUAGGACAGAUGUGAUAGGAUGCACCAGAAUCAAGAACCCACACAUCUGAAUGAUGAGUGUGCUCAUCCGCAACUAGGGCAAUAUCUUCUUCAGAAUUGGUGUCUUCUUCAGCAACAGCAGCAGACACUGAUUGUUUUUCCGAUUGCUUCUUCUUCUUCGGACAAUCAAAUUUCCAAUGUCCCUUCUCCUUGCAGUAAUUACAAACAUCAUCCGGCUUUGCACCCUUCGACAUCGGCUUAUUUUUCUUUCCGCCGUUUUUCCUUCCCUUUCCGCUACUGGUGAACAGACCGGAAGGCUGUAUGUCCGUACUUGUGCCGUUAGCCUUAUGCCGUAAUUCCCUGCUAUGAAGGGCCGAUCUGACUUCUUCCAGUGACACAGUAUCUUUCCCAACAAUGAACGAUUGAACAAAAUUCUCAAACGACAUUGGGAGAGAUACUAACAGAAUCAGGGCAGCAUCUUCAUCCUCGAUCUUCACAUCGAUAUUACGCAAUUCUAAUAACAAAGUAUUCAAUUGCUCUAAGUGUUCCCUGAGUUGUGUACCUUCAGCCAUUCGUAAACCGAAUAGACGUUGUUUCAGAAGCAGCUUGUUGGUUAGAGAUUUUGUCAUGUACAAACUCUCCAGCUUCAACCACAGACCAGCAGCAGUCUCUUCAUCCGAGACCUCCGUGAUGACGUCAUCCGCGAGACACAGCAUGAUCGUCGAGUGCGCCUUUUCCUCCAGAAUCGCCAUCUCAGGAGUAACGACGGCGUUCUUGUCUUUCGACAACGGCGCCCAGAAGCCUUGCUGUUUCAACAAGGCCCGCAUCUUGAUCUGCCAUAAACUGAAACUGUUCCUCCCUGUGAAUUUGUCGAUUUUCACGUUCAAAGCAGACAUCUCGAAUUCUCCAAGAACACCGAUUAACCGAGAGGCUCUGAUACCAAUUUGUUGUGCGGAAUUUGAUAUAAUACGAGAAAAUAUAAACGCGAAAAACAAGACAACAGAUUUACGUGGUUCACCAAUAAAUUGGCUACGUCCACGGGAAGAGGGGGAGCAGUUUUAUUAUGGAGAGGCAAAAAACAGAAUUACAGAAUAGGGUUUGUCAUAGCGUCUAUAUAUAGUGCUAAGCUACGCCCUAACAGGCUUGGGCCCAAAAUACAGAAUUGACAGAUAAUUAAGGGCCCAAUUCAAGGCAUUCAACAAUUUGAUAUGGUGCUGGUUUCAAAGUUUGCAUUUUACUUCAAAUAGUCUAAUUCCUUACCUAUUACAGAAAAAAAAAUUGGUUUGUAGUGAUGUUAUUCAUAAUAAGAGGAUCAAUGCAAAUAAAAGUGAAAUAUAGGAUAGUAAAUGUACUGAAGAAUUAUUACAUCAGAUGAGUAAAAAAUAUUAGAUGAAUCAGGUUUAUAUUAAUUCAUGUUCUGAACUGUUAAUUGCUACCUUUUUAUUGGAUUGCAUUAAGGAAGACAUAACUGUGAAUUAAGGCAGUGAACCAUGAACUGAAAUCCAAUAUACAGUAUUUGUUAAUAACUUCACAAAUAUUGUGGACAGGAUAUGGUGGUUGGUGGAACUGACACAACCUCCAACGCGGUUUAGUUUGCCAUGGCUAAAAUUAUGAACAAACCAUACUUCCUGAGGAAGUUACAACAAGAACUAGAGGUAGUUGUGGGAAAAGAUAAUAUUGUGAAAGAGUCUCAUAUUCAGCAAUUACCAUAUAGAUCUUUAUGCAGUUGUGAAAGAAGCCUUGCGUUUACAUCCAACUCUUCCACUCUUGGUGCCACAUUGUCCUAGUGAGACAUGUACUGUGGGAGGAUACACUGUUCCUAAUGGAUCUCGUGUUUUCAUAAAUGUAUGGGCUAUACAGAGAGAUCCUUCUAUCUGGAAAAAUCCAACAGAGUUCUGUCCAGAGAGAUUUUUCGACAAUAAAUGGGAUGAUAAUGGAAAUGAUGUCAACUACUUCCCAUUUGGCUCUGGCAGGAGAAUCUGCGCGGGGAUAGUCAUGGCAGAGAGGAUUUUCAUGUAUUCACUGGCUUCACUCAUUCAUUCUUUCGACUGGAAAUUGCCCGAAGGAGAGACAUUAGACCUUACAGAGAAGUUUGGGAUUGUUCUGAAGAAAAAAGUACCUCUGGUGGCUAUACCUACUCCCAAGAUUUUUCAAUCCGAACACUGUAUGAGUAAGAUAAAUAUGUGUCUGUAAAGAAUCGUGUUCUGUAUGAUGAUUCUGUCUUUGAAUGGUGAAUUGUGGAAAUUGGAUCCAGUUAGUACACAUUAAGAAUAUAAAACAUGUAAUUCAAGAGUACCUGAAUUAGCACAUCAGAAUGAAUUUUCUGUUUGUAAGAUAAAAGAUAUUUCCAGUUUUAUGUUUAAGUCAUAGUCAGUUAUUUACUAUUAUUUUGUGAUUGAUGAGCAACACUUCAAGGUUAACCAACAAAGUCACAUUUCUUCAAUGAUCCAUCCACCAUCAAAAUGUUCAUUGACAACUUGUUUACCUCACAAAUAAAUAAAUUAUCCCAAAAAAGAAAGAUGGUUUAAAACAAAAUUUAAUAAAAUAAUUAAAAUGAAAUGUUUUUUUUAAAAAAAAGAAAUUACUUUAAAACAAAAAAAUAUUUCAAAAUAAUUUAGUGAAAAGGUCCUUUAAUUUUUUGGGUGACUUUCUAAAUAAUAUAUUAAAAAUAGUUGAGUGACUUUGAGAUAUAAAAGAAAGUUAAAUGACUUUGUAUGAAAUUAGUAUUAGUUGAAUGAAGAUAUAAAAUAAGCAACUCUUAGCAGUCAAAGAAGGAAUGCCUUUUUUUUGUUGAAAAUUGAAGGGAAAAUUGUAUAUAAUAGCAAACUAAUAAUCUAAAUUAAAUAGAAUAGCUAGGGUUUGAUUUAAUUGUGCUCCAUAGCAAACAUUGGCAAAAAUUUGCCAGGCGUCUCUCCCAGAAGUCUCGCUCGCCACUCUCCCAUUCUCGCCUCUCUCGCUUUAUACACAGAAGUGUAUAAUUUCUGUUUCUGUUUUGUAUAAAGCGAGAGAAAAUUGUAUAUACACAUGCAAAAAUGUAUAUCUUUGUGUUAUACGCUUAAUUAUAUAAUUUACAAACAUUUUACUUCAAAUAUUGCAGAGAAAAAGGCCAAAGAAUUAUACAAUUGUGAAUUAUACAAUUGCAGUGAAAUACAAUUUUUCUAGCUUUAUACAACAGAAGUGUAUAUCUUGUGUUUCUGUUUUUGUAUAAAGCGAGAAAAACAUAUAUCUUCUUGCUAUACACUUAUAAUUAUGCAAUAUACAUACAUUUUAAUUCGAUUCAACUGUAUGCAAAGCUAAUUAUACAAUUGCAGGGAAAUAGGCCAGCGAAUUAUACAAUUUAGGCCAGCGAAUUAUACACUUGUAUAUGUAUAGCGAAUUAUACAGUUUUUAUGUUUGCUAUGGAGCGCAAUUAUGCAAAGUUUGCUAUACCAUACAACUAUGAAUUUUUUGUUUGCUAUAUGUGAAAGUUGCCCAAAAUUGAAUGAUGAACAAAAUGCCAAAUUUGGUCCGUUUCAAGUAACAUCACGAGUUUCAGGAGGUGUCUGCUUCGUUUUGGUCUAUUUAUAUUCAUUUCAUUCUUUCAGAAAAAUAAAAACAAAAAAAAAUCUUUUAGCUUGAGAUGUCUCUCGAAUUCUUCAAACCCCGUUUUGAUUCUUUCCCAUGGCCUCUUCAACAACUCAAUGUUGAGCAAAAGGGUGUGUUUUUCUCCUGUUUUCUUGGGUUUUUAGCUUUGCUUUGGUUUUUUAUCAGAAACUCAAACAAGGGAUUGCCACCAGGGCCUAAAGCUUUGCCCUUGAUAGGUAAUCUUCAUUCUCUUGAUCCUCAACUUCACACCUAUUUUGCAUCUCUGUCCCAAACUUAUGGCCCCAUUUGUAGAAUCUGGCUUGGUAAAAAACUUGGAAUUAUUAUUACUUCUCCUGCUUUAGCUCGCGAGGUUCUUAAGGAUAAAGAUACCAUUUUUGCUAACAGAGAUGUCCCUGCUGCUGGAAGCGAAUUUUCAUAUGGUGGCAAAAACAUACUUUGGACUCCUUAUGGACCGAAAUGGCGCAUGUUGAGGAAAAUUUGUGUUCGCGAUAUGCUUAGUUCUUCUACUUUAGAUUCGGUGUAUGCACUAAGGAGAAGGGAGGUUAGACAAUCGAUCAAUUACUUGUAUAGUCAGAAGGGUUUACCAGUGAAUGUUGGUGAACAGACGUUCUUGACUAUUCUUAAUGUGAUUACAAGCAUGUUAUGGGGUGGUACAGUGAAGGGUGAGGAAAGAGCUAGUAUUGGAGCGGAGUUUAGGCAUGUUGUGACUGGGAUAGCUCAGUUGGUCAGUAUUCCCAAUCUUUCCGAUUUUUACCCAGGCUUGGCUUGGUUUGAUUUCCAGGGUGUUAUAAAGAAGAUGAAGGUGUUGGCAAAGCGAUUUGAUAAGAUAUUUGAGAGCAUGAUUGAUCAAAGACAAAAAUUGGACAGAAAUGGUGUUGGCCAAGAAAUCAAAGACUUUUUGCAAGUUUUGCUAAAGUUGAAAGAUGAAGCAGGUCCCGAAAUGCCUCUGACCAUGACUGAAAUCAAAGCCUUACUUAUGGUAUGUUUAUCAAUUGUGCAUUCUACUAAAUAUUCAUAACUGCAUUAUUAUUGAGCAGCCAAGAUUGCAUUUGUCUUUCACCAUUACACUGGCUUACACUGAUCAUGAUGGCAGAUCUUUUCUUUUUUUAUAUUAAAAGGAUCAAAUGCCAUAUAAGUUCAUAUUAGGAUUGUAAAUGUAUUGAGUAAUAAAUAUUAUAUUAAUACGUUCAUGUCCUGAACAGUUAAUUGCUACCCUGUUAUGGACUGGAUUAAAGAAAGAGUCGGCUUAUUUAGGAUCAGAUUAUAUGUGAGACUUUACUGUGAAUUAAGACGCUGAGUCUUGAACUUAACUCCAAUAUACAGUUUGUUGUAACAUGAUAAUAACUUCAAAAGUACUAUGGACAGGAAAUGGUUCUUGGUGGAACUGACACUUCCGUCAACACAAUUGAGUUUGCCAUGGCUGAAAUUAUGCAUAAACCGGAUAUCCUGAGGAAAUUACAACAAGAAGUAGAUACAGUUGUGGGAAAAAAUAAUAUUGUGGAAGAGUCUCAUAUUCAGCAAUUACCAUAUCUCAAUGCAGUGAUGAAAGAAGUGUUGCGCCUACAUCCAGCUGCUCCACUACUGAUACCACAUUGUCCUAGUGAAACAUGCACUGUGGGAGGUUACACUGUUCCUAAAGGAUCUUGUAUUUUCAUAAAUGUUUGGGCUAUACACAGAGAUGCUUCUAUCUGGAAAAAUCCAACAGAGUUCCGUCCAGAGAGGUUUUUGGACAAUAAAUGGGAUUAUAGCGGAAAAGAUUUGAACUAUUUCCCAUUUGGUUCUGGAAGAAGAAUCUGUGCAGGGAUAGGCAUGGCAGAGAGGAUGUUCAUGUAUUCACUGGCUUCACUCGUUCAUUCUUUUGAUUGGAAAUUGCCCCAAGGAGUGACAUCAGACGUUACAGAGACGUUUGGUCUUAAUUUGAGGAAAAAAAUUCCUCUGGUGGCUAUACCUACUCCAAGAUUGUCCAAUCCAACACUGUAUGAGUAAGAUAAAAAUGUAUCUGUUGAGAGUCGUGUUCCGUAUGAUGAUUCUGUCUUUUGUAUGAUGAAUUAUGGAAAUUAAUUUGAACUUUCUAUGCAGUAAAAGGAACCAUUAUUAUAUUCUCUCUUAGUGAAAGUUCUCUCAAGGAAGAAUUCAGGUUUCCUCAUGGCUAGAGAUGAGGUUCAUGUUUUUUUCUUUCCUUAACCCUUAACUAAACACAUCAACUCUCGAAACUAAGCAUUUUCUUUCUAAAUAUAAUAUUUGGACUUCUCAAAAAGCUCAAUAUCCAACGAGAUACUUUAAUUUUUGUCUCUCCGAAUAAAAGAAAAAAACACUACGGGAACAGUCCCCAUAUUGGUAUAUCAUAUAGGUGAAUCUUUUUACUAGGGGCUCUGUUCCAGCUAAAUGAAAUGAUUAAUAGUCACACAGAUGUCUAAAAUUUGGUUUUAUACCACAAGUUUCAAAGUCUUUUCUUUUUUCCUGAACUUCGUGUCAUAAAUUGAGACGCAGGGAGUGAAAGUCACUUUCUUUGGAUGUGAAUUGGUUUGUCCCUUCUAACUUGUAACAGUUCUAUGUAAGCAAAUAACCUUUCUUUUCCUUUGUUCAAAGUUCAAAUCUAUUUUUUUAGUUACUACUGCAUUAUUGCUGAGAAGAGGAGAUUGCAUUUACCUGUUCUUUAUCUUCUAGACUUUUUAGAAAUGCCGCAUUGUGUGUGUCAGAUCUUGUAAAAAUAGUACGAAGACUCUCGAGCAUGAGUUUUUCUGGGCUAAAAUGGCCCUUAUGGUAUGUUAUGUCACUUUCGAUGUGAUAUUGGUUGUUCCCUUCGGUUGGGAAAUGCGGAUAAUAUAAUGUAUUGAAUUUCCUACCAUUUAAAUUAAUUAAAAAAAGUUCCUUUUUCCGUCUCUCUCUAUUAACCUUCGGAUACAUCUCUCUACCUCUCCCCAUAUGGCGCUUAAAUCCCCCCAAAAUCACGCCUAUAACUUAACAAUGAAUCAUCGAUUCGUUCCAACUUAACAUUUAUGAAUUACAAUCGUAUUAUUCUUGAACUUAUCAUUAAUUUCAAAUUUUAAAAAAAGUAAAAAAAAUUAUUCAUCAUCUAUUUUGCUUUUAAUAUAUCAGAAUUUUGCAUCAAAAUAGUUCAAUUUAGCGAUAAAUGUGGGUUCACUACCAUCAUUUAGAAUUGUCUUACUCAAUUAGUUCUUCAAUGGAACAUCUUGUUCCUAGUGAGUUUGAUUCGAAUAAUGAUAAUUUUGCUGAAAAUAGAUCCAAACACCAGAAAGAUCCUUUAAUGAUGAAGAAAUUGUGGGCGGAAAUAUUUUGAAAAUUCAGCGGUCAAAUUUCUAAUGUAUAUGGUCGAUAUUGUGUAUUUACUUUGUAUCAUAUUUAUUGAUCAAUAAACGGAACAAAAAAUAUAUUGAGUUAUUGCUAUUGGGUUAUUAGGUUGGCGGGUUUUAGAUAGUUUUUUUCAAAAAAAAAAUUAUUAGGUUAUCGAUUUGGUAUCGAUUUUUAGUAUUAGAUAAAUUGAUAACCCAUUAAGACGAUAAUAAUUUACUACUAUACCCUUCAUAAAUAUCAAAUAUUAAUAACUUAACAGAACUAGACACUAUAUCAGUACUCUACACUACGAUCUAUACACUUCACAUUACUUCCACUUCACAUAAAAAAAAUCAUAUUAUGUUUUGGUUGUAACAUGUAAUUGUAGCCUCCAACUGUAUCUACUCUUAUUGAUGUAAUUUUUCAUUAUAUUUCUUGUUUCACUAUAUCAAAGCAUUAACAUCUGAUUUGUUAGUCUCACUGUAUCGCGCUAAAUUGUUAGAGAAGUAAGAAAAUCAUAUAUUUAUUUUAUUAGCAUUUUCUUAUUAGGUAAACCGAAAACCAAACCGUUAAUGACCAAAAAUCGAUAAAUAGAAAACCAAAGAAUAUCUUAUUUGUUAGAAUAUGUGUGUCCACUACCAGUCAACGGACCAGGUCCCUUGACACAAUAAGAACAGUGCGUAAGAUUAAACAAUAUGAAGAACACAACACAAGCAGUUUACGUGGAAACCUUCUUGCUCAAGGGAGUAAAACCACGACCUAUUGCACAGGAUUUACAACCGUCUUCACUAAUCUUCUCAAGCAAAAGUGAAACCCGGUUACAAUUAAUGUGAGAAAAAGUUAUUAAUCUCACGAUCAAGUAAUCUACCUGUUACUUGAAGAGCCUAAGCGGAUACCACACCGCCCACUAAACCACCUAACUCUAGAUGACUUAGAAUUUGACUAAGCAACAAACAAAUGUUGCCCACUAAAUCAGUUAACCUUAACUGAUUUAGACUUUUACAAACCCAAAACAAAUAUCUGAAUCCUUUAUAGAUUAGGAACAGAUUUACAAUGUAAGUACAUAGACACAAAGCUCUAAAUACAACAAAGAUUCUUUUUUACUCUAUCAGGUCCUUCUGUUGAGUUGAGCAAUGUUCUUCCUUGAAGAUGGCCUUCUAUUCAAGCUUCUAAAUCUUCAGAGAAAAUCAAAGUUUAAUUUGUCAAGUCUUGAAUUUGUGUUUGUUGGAAAGAGAUAAUAUAAUUUCCCACAAAUUCGUUGAAGUCAUCCCAUUGGCUUGCUGUUGGAAAAGUUGUGCACCUACCGCAUCAGAGAUGACAGCUUUUCUGACAGCUGUCUUUUCAUCCUUUUCAUGUCACAGUCUUGCGGGUACCAGGUCCCUUGCUUUUGGGAACCAGGUCCCUUGCAAACUUCUAUAUGAGUUCUUGAAAAGGCUUGCUGGCUGACUUCCUUCUUUGGAUAAAUGAAUAUAAUAUGGUGUUUGUCAUGCUAAAAGUAUCAAAUAUAAAGAGUUAUUAUCCAUUGGACAAACACCCUCCUCCAUUCUGAUUGGUGUAGUACACUGACAUCUUACUAACCUCUGACGUGACAACUUUACAGCUGUAACCAAUUAUGUAUCUGAUGGAGGAAACUCUGCCUGGUACUAGGUCCCUGCAUUUGUGAGAUUCUGAAACAUACAAUCUUGUCCGCUCUUCUUAUUGGUGUAGGAUACUGCACUUUUCACCUACCAUGUUGUGCGGAAUUUGAGAUAAUACGAGAAAAUAUAAACGCGAAAAACAAGACAACAGAUUUACGUGGUUCACCAAUAAAUUGGCUACGUCCACGGGAAGAGAGGGAGCAGUUUUAUUAUGGAGAGGCAAAAACAGAAUUACAGAAUAGGGUUUGCCAUAGCGUCUAUAUAUAGUGCUAAGCUACGCCCUAAAAGGCUUGGGCCCAACAUACAGAAUCAACAGAAAAUUAAGGGCCCAAUACAACAACAUUGUAUACCGUCCUUUCUGUUUGUAGCGGGUCCGAUUCAAGGCAUUCAACACUGCCGUUAUUCUAAUAGACCAUAAACACCCUCAAAAGUUAACAAUCUAAUUUUUUUAUUGAUGUGAAAAGCAGCGAGACCCCCGUCCUUUCUGUUUGUAGCGGGUCCGAUUCAAGGCAUUCAACAUACCACCUAACAUAUCAACUUUUAUGACUGUACCCCAUUUGUAUCUGGACGAGAGCACUCUGCCAGGAACCAGGUCCCCGCAUUUGUGAGGAUCAUCAAAACACCUAGAAUAUAACAUUAUUGAUAUGUUAUUGGUUCAACAUAUUUAAAAACAAAACACUGAUAAAUCGAACCAAUAAUACACGAAAUCGAACUGAACUAACUAAUGCACACCCGUAUAUCAGAUACAUUAUAAUUUUAUUUGUGUACAAUGUAUACAGUACAAAUGUUAUGAUUGAUAUGUAUAACCCCAAUUAUUUCAAACCGAAAUUAGUAUAAAUCAUGUUUAUAGUUAUGUAUCUGGUACAUAACCAUGACAACUUUCAUUAUAUUUUAAUACCCGAUUCAUACACCUAUUGCUAUUUAUCUGAAAAAGGCUACCAACUUUCAUUCUGAUUCUAGUUAUUUUGUUAUGUAUAUGAAUUCUUUACAUUUUAAUGUAUCUGGAGACAGUUUUACGAUGUAUCUAUCUGAUGUCUAUUUUUUUUUCCAACUCAUCAAUUUAUAAUUCAGCUUCGAUUUCAGAUUCAUAAAAGAAAUAUUGUUUCCAACAACGAUUUUAUCGCUUUUUUAUUGUUCGUAAUUUACUUUAAACAUCAUACUCCAAAAUGUCUUAAUGUUCAUGAUGUAUCUUCUUCCAAAUUACCAAAUUUUGAAGCAGAGUUAAGGAUUUUGAAAGAUUUGCUUGAACUAGUUUGAAUUUUAAAUAUGUUACGCAUUACCAGGAAUCUAAGUUCUACAAUUGACUCAAUUAGAAUAAUAAUUAAUUUUAAUCCGUUAAUUUUGAAUAUUAAGAUCAGAGCUUUUAUCACUUUUCUUGAAAUUAUGUUUUAUUGGUGUUAAAUAUUUAGUUUUUCUUCUUAAAGAAGAUGAACGGUAUCUGAUUGGGUAUUUGAGGCCAUGACUGUCAAAAACUUCAAAUUUUGCUGGCGAUAAAUCCAAAGAAAGAACGAUUUUUCGCUGAAAAUUGAAUGAUAAACAAAAUGCCAAACAAAUUUUGCUUUUCACGUUUCUUGUAAUACCAACAAAGUUACUUUUUCCGUUUCAAUUAACAUCACGAGACUCAGGAGGUGACUCUGCUUCAUUUUGGUCUAUUUAUAUUCAUCUCAUUCUUUCAGCAAAAUCAAAAUCUUUUGGAGGUGCAAAAGCUUCAGAUGUCUCUCAAAUUCUUCAAACCCCUUUUUGAUUCUUCCCCAUGGCUCCUUCAACAACUCAAUGUUGAGGAAAAUGCUGUGUUUUUCUCCUGUUUUCUUGGUUUUUCAGCUUUACUUUGGUAUUUCAUCAGAAAUUCAAACAAGGGAUUGCCACCAGGGCCUAAACCUUUGCCCUUGAUAGGUAAUCUUCAUUCUCUUGAACCUCAACUUCAUACCUAUUUUGCAUCUCUUUCCCAAACUUAUGGUCCUAUUUGUAGACUCUGGCUUGGUAAAAAAGUUGGGAUUGUUAUUGCUUCACCUGCUUUAGCUCGCGAGGUUCUUAAGGAUAAAGAUACCAUUUUUGCUAACAGAGAUGUCCCUGCUGCUGGAAGAGAAUUUUCCUACGGUGUGAAUGACUUACUUUGGACUCCUUAUGGACCGAAAUGGCGAAUGUUGAGGAAGGUUUGUGUUCGUGAUAUGCUUAGUUGUUCUACAUUAGAUUCUGUUUAUGCACUAAGGAAAAGGGAGCUUAGACAAUCGAUCAAAUACUUGUAUAGUCAGAAGGGUUUACCGGUGAAUGUUGGUGAACAGAUGUUCUUGACUGUGCUUAAUGUGAUUACAAGCAUGUUAUGGGGUGGCACAGUGAAGGGUGAAGAAAGAGCUAGUGUUGGAGCGGAAUUUAGGCAUGUUGUGACUGAGAUAGCUCAGUUGAUCAGUAUUCCCAAUCUUUCCGAUUUUUACCCAGGCAUGGCUUGGUUUGAUUUCCAGGGUGUUGUAAAGAAGAUGAAGGUGGUUCUUAAGAGAUUCGAUAAGAUAUUUGAAAGCAUGAUUGAUCAAAGACAAAAAUUGGACAGAAACGGUUUUGGCCAAGAAAGCAAAGACUUUCUGCAAGUUUUGCUGAAGUUGAAAGAUGAAGCAGAUGCCAAAAUGCCACUGACUAUGACUGAAAUCAAAGCCUUACUUAUGGUAUGUUUAUCAUUUGUGCAUUCUAUGAAAUUUGUUUUAUCCAUAUGAACCAAAAAGAAAUCUUCCUCUCCCCAGUUAACACUGCGUUAUUAUUGAGUAGCCAAGAUGCAACCAUUCAUACCUUAUCUAUACGGAUUAUUUAUUAGCUUACAUAGUUACACUAAUCAUGAUGACAGAUCUGUUUUUUUUAAUAUUAAAAGGAUCAAAAUUCAUUGUGUCAUAUGGGAAAUAAAUUUUCAGAAGAACCAGAUUAAUAAAUUCAUGUCCUGAGCUGUUGGUUGCGUUCUUCUGCUCGGAAAAUUCACUUUCAUUACAUGUUGUGCUGGUUACAAAAGUUUGCAUUUUACUGUGAAUUAAAACUGUGAACCUAAAAUCAAAUAUACAGUUAUACAAUUAAAAAUCUGCUGUACAUGAUAAUGACUGUGGACAGGAUAUGGUUACCGGUGGAGCUAGCUCAACGUCCAACGCGAUAGAGUUUGCCAUGGCUGAAAUUAUGAACAGACCAGACGUCUUGAGGAAAUUACAAGAAGAAGUAGAAGCAGUUGUGGGAAAAGAUAAUAUUGUGGAAGAGUCUCAUCUUAAGCAAUUACCAUAUCUCUAUGCAGUGAUGAAAGAAGCCUUGCGCAUACAUCCAACUGCUCCACUAUUGGUGCCUCAUUGUCCAAGUGAAACAUGCACUGUGGGAGGAUACACUAUUCCUAAAGGAUCUUGUGUUUUCAUAAAUGUAUGGGCUAUACACAGAGAUCCUUCUAUCUGGAAAAAUCCAACUGAGUUCCGUCCAGAGAGAUUUUUGGACAAUAAAUGGGAUUUUAGUGGAAAUGAUUUCAACUAUUUCCCGUUUGGUUCUGGCAGAAGAAUCUGUGUGGGGCUAGACAUGGCAGAGAGGAUGUUCAUGUAUUCACUGGCUUCACUCAUUCAUUCUUUCGACUGGAAAUUGCCUGAAGGAGAGACAUUAGAAGUUACAGAGAAGUUUGGUAUUAUUAUGAAGAAGAAAAUGCCUCUGGUGGCUAUACCGACUCCAAGAUUGUCCAAUCCAUCACUCUAUGAGUAAGAUAAAAAUGUGUCUGUAGAGAGUCG